UUACUGCUUACGUUAAAAAGACACUGCACCAGGAGGUUUCCCACACCUACCCCAGCCUGGUUCUGAGCCCCAGACCUCGUUCGGCCUUUCUCCGACAGCCAAUUUCCUGAGUUAGUUCUGCCGUUUCUCUCCUCCACAUCCAGGCUCCGAAAGCCUCCCUCGCCUCAGCCUCCAUGAACCGGGGUCCGCUCCCCUCGCUGGGCGCCUGGCCCGCACGGCGGCGCCGCUGCUCUCGGUGGGGACGACGCGCGCGGCUCCGCCAAGCCUGGUGGCGCCGGCUCAGGUGGGCUUCUUCUCGCCGCUCCGGCCCGGCCGCCCGGCCCCGCGCCCUCGGCCUCCGCGGCCCGGACGCAGCGCGGCUGCUGGAGGCGGGUCCGCCGGCGUCGCGGCCGCGCUCCCGCUUCCGGGCCCCUUCCCCCCGUCGCUGGCUGGCGCUGGCGCAGGCUCGGCCGGCCGCCCCCUCCCCGCUGCUCCGCGCCCGCCGCCGUCCGCUCCCUCCCCGCUGGCGGGCGGGGCCGCGCUCCUCCCCGGCUCCGCCCUCGCUCCGCCUCCCGCCUCGGCCGCCCCGCCCCUCCGCCCUCCGCGGCCGAGCGGCCUAGCUGGUCCGGCGCGCGGGUCUCCCCGCGAGGCCCGACCUUUGUUCCCGACCUGCCCGGCCGCGCCGUCCCGGGUGCGUCCCGCGUGCCUGCCCCGCCUCUCUCCUCACAUUUUCCGGUCGCCGUGGCCCCUUUUCGGAGCCGGGAGUGCGGAGGCGGUUUCCUCGCGUGUCUGUGGCUGGGGGCCGCCCCUCGCGCCCCCCGGGUUCGGCGCGCACCUACUCUGCGGCUCGGCCGCCGCGCCUGAGUUCGGCGAAAGCCUUUCCAGGGCGGCGGUGUUUGCUUAGGGUCUCCCGCACCACCUGGAUUGCCCGGAGAGCGAUGUAUGAGCUUGCAAAUUUACACACAGACACACACACACAGUAGUGGGGAUCGAACUUGGGUCCUUGUGCUUGAGCAGCAGCAGCAGCACCAGAAAAAGAAGAAGAAGAGGAGGAGGAGGAGGAGGAGCAAGAAGAAGAAGAGGAGGAGAAGAAGAAGAGGAAGAAGAAAGAAGAGGAGGAGGAAGCAGAAGAAGCAACUUUUCAAUUGUGGGCAGAAAUCCCAAGACCAAACUGGUUGUUUCUUCUAGAAAGAUGACUCUUUAAGUUAUUAUCAUUCUCCUUCCAGGGUGCUGUUCAGGGACAGGCCUGGCAAAAUAAAACUGCUACUGGAGAGAUUGUGCCUCUGUUUACUAGGGGUCAUUUUGGUUUGGUGGGGGUUUUUUGGCACUGGAGAUGGGACUUGGGACCCUGUGCUCGCGAGGCAGGCAGCGGAACCACUGAGCUAAAUCCCUGGCCCUGGUUGUUUUGUUUUUGAAACAGAGUCUGGCUGAGUUAUCCAGGCUAGCUUGGAGCUCUCUACACUCCUUUCUCAGCCUCCUGAGUAGCUGGGGUUACUGGCACAUAACACUAUACCUGGC
rnacentral:lncRNA from 1 species